GUUUCCAACGAAAUCCUCAAAGCUAUCCAAAUAUCCACUUUCAGAUUCCACAAAAAGAGUGUUUUAAAACUGCUCUGUAAAAAGAAAGGUUCAUCUCUGUUACUUGAAUACACACAUCACAAACAAGUUUCUGAGAAUGCUUCUGUCUAGUUUUUAUGGGAAGAUAUUUCCUUUUUCAGCAUAGGCCUCAAAGCGCUCCAAAUGUCCACUUCCAGGUAGUGCAGAAAGAGUGUCUCAAACCUGGUAUAUAACAGGGAACAUUCUACUCUGUGACUUGAAUGAAAACAUCACAAAGCAGUUUCUGAGAAUGCUUCCGUCUAGAUUAUAUAUGAAGAUAUUCCCGUUUCCAACGAAACCUUCAAAGCUAUCUGAAUAUCC
rnacentral:lncRNA from 1 species